rnacentral:rRNA from 1 species
CGUCAAAUCAUCAUGCCCUAUGACCUGGGCUACACACGUGCUACAAUGGUUGGUACAACGAGUUGCGAGUCGGUGACGGCGAGCUAAUCUCUUAAAGCCAAUCUCAGUUCGGAUUGUAGGCUGCAACUCGCCUACAUGAAGUCGGAAUCGCUAGUAAUCGCGGAUCAGCACGCCGCGGUGAAUACGUUCCCGGGCCUU